GACGAACGCUGGCGGCGUGCUUAACACAUGCAAGUCGAACGGAAAGGCCCUGCUUUUGUGGGGUGCUCGAGUGGCGAACGGGUGAGUAACACGUGAGUAACCUGCCCUUGACUUUGGGAUAACUUCAGGAAACUGGGGCUAAUACCUGAUAGGAGCUCCUGCUGCAUGGUGUGGGUUGGAAAGUUUCGGCGGUUGGGGAUGGACUCGCGGCUUAUCAGCUUGUUGGUGGGGUAGUGGCUUACCAAGGCUUUGACGGGUAGCCGGCCUGAGAGGGUGACCGGCCACAUUGGGACUGAGAUACGGCCCAGACUCCUACGGGAGGCAGCAGUGGGGAAUAUUGCACAAUGGGCGGAAGCCUGAUGCAGCAACGCCGCGUGCGGGAUGACGGCCUUCGUGUUGUAAACCGCUUUCGCCUGUGACGAAGCGUGAGUGACGGUAAUGGGUAAAGAAGCACCGGCUAACUACGUG
rnacentral:rRNA from 1 species